rnacentral:rRNA from 1 species
GAUGAACGCUGGCGGCGUGCCUAAUACAUGCAAGUCGAGCGAACAGACGAGGAGCUUGCUCCUCUGACGUUAGCGGCGGACGGGUGAGUAACACGUGGAUAACCUACCUAUAAGACUGGGAUAACUUCGGGAAACCGGAGCUAAUACCGGAUAAUAUAUUGAACCGCAUGGUUCAAUAGUGAAAGACGGUUUUGCUGUCACUUAUAGAUGGAUCCGCGCCGCAUUAGCUAGUUGGUAAGGUAACGGCUUACCAAGGCAACGAUGCGUAGCCGACCUGAGAGGGGGUUGGGCAAAACUGAACCUAGGAAACGGUCCAGAACCCUACGGGAGGAAGAGUAGGGGAAUCUUCCGAAAGGGGGGAAAGCCUGACGGAGAAACGCCGCGGGGGUAAUGAAGGUCUUCGAUCUGUAAAACCCUUUUUUUGGGAAAAAAAAAAUGUGUAAUUGACUUUCCCGUUUUUGGCGGUACUUAUUAAGAAAGCCCCGGCUAACUGGUG